rfam:Gossypium arboreum cultivar AKA8401 contig_13805_1, whole genome shotgun sequence.
AAUCUGUGGUGUGGGCACUUCUAAAUCAACAUCUUGAAAUGCUCCUAUGCUUUAUAAAUGUUUUCUCCUUCUAAUUAUUUGAAAAUCAAAAUUUCCUUUCAUAGCU